rnacentral:rRNA from 1 species
GACGAACGCUGGCGGCGUGCUUAACACAUGCAAGUCGAACGAUGAAGCGGUGCUUGCACCGUGGAUUAGUGGCGAACGGGUGAGUAAUACGUGAGUGACCUACCUUUCACUCUGGGAUAAGCCUGGGAAACUGGGUCUAAUACCGGAUACGACCAAUCUCUGCAUGGGGUGUUGGUGGAAAGCGUUAUGGAGUGGUUUUAGAUGGGCUCAAGGCCUAUCAGCUUGUUGGUGAGGUAAUGGCUUACCAAGGCGACGACGGGUAGCCGGCCUGAGAGGGUGACCGGCCACACUGGGACUGAGACACGGCCCAGACUCCUACGGGAGGCAGCAGUGGGGAAUAUUGCACAAUGGGCGCAAGCCUGAUGCAGCGACGCCGCGUGAGGGAUGACGGCCUUCGGGUUGUAAACCUCUGUUAGCAUCGAAGAAGCGAAAGUGACGGUAGGUGCAGAGAAAGCGCCGGCUAACUACGUG